UACGGAGGGUGCAAGCGUUAUCCGGAUUUACUGGGUUUAAAGGGUGCGUAGGUGGGUCUGUAAGUCAGUGGUGAAAUCUCCGGGCUUAACCCGGAAACUGCCAUUGAUACUAUAGAUCUUGAAUAUCCUGGAGGUGAGCGGAAUAUGUCAUGUAGCGGUGAAAUGCUUAGAUAUGACAUAGAACACCAAUUGCGAAGGCAGCUCACUAAGCAGAUAUUGACGCUGAGGCACGAAAGCGUGGGGAUCAAACAGG
rnacentral:rRNA from 1 species